CAGUCGUACCUAUGGGUAAUCAGCCUUUUGGGUGUGAUUUUGUGGAGCGUGAGGAGUUAAACGCCUUCAUGCCUGCAUAUUUGUGCUCUUGGGUGUACUUGUCUGUGUGGUAGGUUAACAUCAAUUUUGGUCGUCAUUAAAAUGACUGGAGGAAUGGUAGCUUUGGUCUCGUAUCGAAGUGUUAUAGACUCUGGUA
rnacentral:rRNA from 1 species